CACGUAGGGUGCGAGCGUUGUCCGGAAUUACUGGGCGUAAAGGGCGCGUAGGCGGCCAGCACAAGUCAGUUGUGAAAUCUCCGAGCUUAACUCGGAAAGGUCAACUGAUACUGUGCGGCUAGAGUGCGGAAGGGGCAACUGGAAUUCUUGGUGUAGCGGUGAAAUGCGUAGAUAUCAAGAGGAACACCUGCGGCGAAGGCGGGUUGCUGGGCCGACACUGACGCUGAGGCGCGAAAGCCAGGGGAGCGAACGGG
rnacentral:rRNA from 1 species